UGGCCGGGAGCGGGGGGAGGGGAGCCAAGAGUAACAAAGGGAGCCCGCGGCCGGGUUUGUUUGGAUUGCCCGGGCGGCGCGGGAGCGGCCGGGCGCAGCUGACCACGGGUACAGAUAGGUUAAUUUCCACAUGGAGCGGCAGAAACCCAAUCCGCGGGUUGCGAAGCGUGGGUCAGCCAAGGCACGUUAAUCUGUUUAGCAUGUGCGCCGCGCGGAGGAGCCAGACCACCGGGGCGCAGGAGGCGCGGCCGCAGCCGCGCUGCUCCGGGGGAGUUAAUAAAGAGCUUAAGCAUCGCGUUCUGUUGGACAGAGAGCCCCAGGACUGUCAGACGGCGAAGGGUUAGGAAGUGCGCGCAGCCUCGCCGACCCCUGCCCAGUCCGAGAACCAGAGCUGUUGUCGAUCGAGGGCCCGGCCGUUGCGCCCGGGGCGCGCGGGCCUCGCUGAGUCGCGACGAGUCCCUGCGCCUCCUCCCAGACGCGGCGCCACCGAGAGACAGACCACCGGCUCCCGCUUCAUUUCAGGGGCUGACAAGGGGAAAACACUACCGCGCCCCUGGCCGAAGGAGGUAA
rnacentral:lncRNA from 1 species